CACACCCACCAAUUAUUCCCGCGGGGCCCCCAAACACAGAAGAGAGACGGAAGCAGAGGGGGCUGCCUCAGGGUCAGAAGAGAGCAGUUUUCCAGGCAGUGGAGGAAGAUCAAGAAGGCAGUUUUCUUCUCACAGGAGCUAACUCCGUCCGGCAUGAUGGAUUCCCGGGCUCCCAGAACGGCUGGGCUGGAAGGGACCUUGAAAAAGCAACUACCGACACGUGCCCCAUGCCAGGACCGGGCACUUUCGUGACAAGUACAUUGUCUCAUUUAACACUCCUAUUUCGAGAGCCUUCCCUUGAAAUGGGAAGUCCUCGCCGCACGAGGUGGACAUUCUAUAUUGCUGGAUCACCCGGACGUCUUUCUCCUUCACCUGCACUGAUCUCCACUGGUGACAUAACGUCUCCCCCUCCACUAGCGAGAGAAAACUUGGGACUACAUUUCCCGGCAGGCUGUUCAGAGGGGGUGGGGGGGGAGGAGGAAAGAUUUUCCGUUUCCCUCGGCUAGCAAUUUGGCGAGUCGGCGGUGAUGCAUAUUUCUACAGCCAACGUCCUUUCUCUGUGGAAAUCAGGAAGGGACUACGUUCCCCAGCAGGCACUGGCGCAGAGGUCGAGUGGCCAGGCAGCCAUCGUUACUGUAGUCCUUCUCCCCAUUUCCGCAGGGAAUAGCCUUAGCGCCUAAACUACAAGUCCCACAUCGCUGUCGCCUGCCCUUCGGCCGCCGUCUUUGCCGGUAGUCCCCGCCCCACUCCCUGCAUUGUCUCGACUGAAGCCAACAGAGGGGAGCCGGAGAACUGCAACUCCCGUCAGGCCUGGCGCCACGGCGGGUGGGGGAGGAUCUCGCCAUCACAGGCGGGCGAGGUGCCCAAGGUGGUAGAAUGAGGAAACCGGGAGAAGCUAGGUAGCCUGCCAUCUUUAUGGUAGUCUCCUUAUCCUCCUGAUUCGGCCAUUCUUAAGGAACACUAGAAAGCUGGAAAACUACUAUUCCCAUCGCACCUCGUAAGCUCAAUUACUAGUCAGGUGUAUGGCCCUCUUCCGCCAUCUUGCUUGUAGUCCUCGUUCCUUUUCACCUUUCCAUUGUUCCUGACGAGUAGAAAUGGCAGCGGGAAGGCAGCAGAUGGACUGCGACUCCCGUCAGGUACCACACACGCGGAGGGUUGUGGACAGGAGGGCGUGCGAGCGCCUGGGAAGGAGGUCGGGUCGGGGGAGAACGCCAUCUUGUUUGUAGUCAUCGUUCCCGCUCCUUCUCUAUGUUCUGCAACUGGGAGCCUCGGGGCAACCGGACUAUAACUCCCGGCAUCCUCGGCUCCCGUCCUGGCACGCCCUCCGCCAUCUUGUUCGUAGUCCCCGCUGACCCCAGCGUCCCAUUGUUCUUGUUGUGGCUUCAGUGUCCGCAGGACUACAACUCCCGUCGCGCCCUGCGCGCGUCCCCUGGAUCGUGGAGGUGGUGGA